rnacentral:lncRNA from 1 species
GAAGAACAGAAACAAAUGAAGUCCAGGGGUCCCAAAAUAUCUGAGGACCCCAAUAUAUACAGGUACACGUGGGUCGGGUCGAAUGACCCAAAGAGUAAAAUGAAAUGGGGCUCAGACAGUAAUUGGGCUCGGUUACAUACAAAUGGCCCAACAACACAUAAUCAUCACAGCCCAUACUAUUGUAUACCAGCUUAUACAAUAAAUAUACAGUAUGUAUACACCGUACAUAACCAUGUAAUUUCCUUCAUCUCAACACCCCCCCUCAAGUUGGAGGGGGAAACCACCUGCAACUUGGUGAGCAGCGGAAGAAGCAAA